UACGUAGGGGGCAAGCGUUGUCCGGAUUUAUUGGGCGUAAAGAGCGUGUAGGCGGCCAGACAGGUCCGUUGUGAAAACUCGAGGCUCAACCUCGAGACGCCGAUGGAAACCGUCUGGCUAGAGUCCGGAAGAGGAGAGUGGAAUUCCUGGUGUAGCGGUGGAAUGCGCAGAUAUCAGGAGGAACACCAACGGCGAAGGCAGCUCGCUGGGACGGUGCUGACGCUGAGGCGCGAAAGCGUGGGGAGCGAACAGG
rnacentral:rRNA from 1 species